UUUUGUAUGUGUCAGUGAGGUCUGCCCUAUACAAUAGACCAUAGUGAUUGUAUUGAUCACAGAUUGUGUUUACACUGCAGUUUCUCUUGAAGCCUCUCUACAAUUUUGUUUUUGUGGGUUUAGUUUUGCAUGCAUUUUGUUUCUUUUGCUGCAGAAAUUCAAUACAAAAAUGAAUUAUCCAUCUCAGAGAAGCUUUAUAGAAUGUACAGUUUAUGAAAAAAAGGAAGCAGACAAAAUUGUCCUGGUACUCGUCUUCC